rnacentral:rRNA from 1 species
AGUGAACGCUGGCGGCGUGCCUAAUACAUGCAAGUCGAACGAAGUGGCGCACGGGUGAGUAAUAUAUAGUUAAUCUGCCCUACAAAGAGGAACAACAGUUGCAAAAGACUGCUAAUACCUCCUAGUGUAGGAGGAGACUAUAACGUUUCAGCUAGUUGGUAAGGUAAUGGAUUACCAAGGCUAUGACGAGUAACUGGUCUGAGAGGAUGAUCAGUCACAUUGGAACGGAGGCACGGUUCAAACUCCUACGGGAGGCAGCAGUAAGGAAUAUCGCGCAAGGGGGGGAACCCUGACGCAGCAACGCGGCGUGGAGGAUGACAAUUGUGGGGGCGUAAAAUCAGUUUAUCACGAAAGCGGUACCUGAUGAAUAAGCACCGGCUAACUCCGUGCCAGCAGCCGCGGUAAUAC